rnacentral:rRNA from 1 species
UACGUAGGGCGCGAGCGUUGUCCGGAAUUAUUGGGCGUAAAGAGCUCGUAGGCGGCCGGUUGCGUCUGCUGUGAAAUCCCGGGGCUUAACCCCGGGCGUGCAGUGGAUACGGGCCGGCUGGAGGCAGGCAGGGGAGAAUGGAAUUCCCGGUGUAGCGGUGAAAUGCGUAGAUAUCUGGAGGAACACCGGUGGCGAAGGCGGCAUCCUGGACCGGCAUUGACGCUGAGGCGCGAAAGCCAGGGGAGCAAACGGG